rnacentral:rRNA from 1 species
GAUCUAGCCAUGGGCAGGUUGAAGGUUGGGUAACACUAACUGGAGGACCGAACCGACUAAUGUUGAAAAAUUAGCGGAUGACUUGUGGCUGGGGGUGAAAGGCCAAUCAAACCGGGAGAUAGCUGGUUCUCCCCGAAAGCUAUUUAGGUAGCGCCUCGUGAAUUCAUCUCCGGGGGUAGAGCACUGUUUCGGCAAGGGGGUCAUCCCGACUUACCAACCCGAUGCAAACUGCGAAUACCGGAGAAUGUUAUCACGGGAGACACACGGCGGGUGCUAACGUCCGUCGUGAAGAGGGAAACAACCCAGACCGCCAGCUAAGGUCCCAAAGUCAUGGUUAAGUGGGAAACGAUGUGGGAAGGCCCAGACAGCCAGGAUGUUGGCUUAGAAGCAGCCAUCAUUUAAAGAAAGCGUAAUAGCUCACUGGUCGAGUCGGCCUGCGCGGAAGAUGUAACGGGGCUAAACCAUGCAC